rnacentral:rRNA from 1 species
CACGUAGGGUGCGAGCGUUGUCCGGAAUCAUUGGGCGUAAAGCGCGUGUAGGCGGCCCGGUAAGUCCGCUGUGAAAGUCCAGGGCUCAACCCUGGGAUGCCGGUGGAUACUGUCGGGCUCGAGUCCGGAAGAGGCGAGUGGAAUUCCUGGUGUAGCGGUGAAAUGCGCAGAUAUCAGGAGGAACACCAAUGGCGAAGGCAGCUCGCUGGGACGUGACUGACGCUGAGACGCGAAAGCGUGGGGAGCAAACAGG